CGCGCAGGCGGUCCUGUAAGUCAGGUGUGAAAGCCCGGGGCUCAACCCCGGAAGUGCACUUGAAACUAUGGGACUUGAGUAUGGGAGAGGGAAGUGGAAUUCCUGGUGUAGCGGUGAAAUGCGUAGAUAUCAGGAGGAACAUCGGUGGCGAAGGCGACUUCCUGGACCAAUACUGACGCUGAGGCGCGAAGGCGUGGGGAGCAAACA
rnacentral:rRNA from 1 species